AGAGUUUGAUCCUGGCUCAGAACGAACGCUAGCGGCGUGGAUAAGACAUGCAAGUCGGACGGGCCUCCAGCAAUGGGGGCCAGUGGCGGACGGGUGCGUAACACGUGGGCAACAUGCCCGGAGGAGGGGGAUAGCCCGGGGAAACCCGGAUUAAUACCGCAUGUGGAGGCCGGCGGCAUCGCCGGUUUUCAAAGGAGGGGACCGCAAGGCCCUCCGCCUCCGGAUUGGCCCGCGGCCUAUCAGCUUGUUGGCGGGGUAACGGCCCACCAAGGCGACGACGGGUAGCUGGUCUGAGAGGAUGGCCAGCCACAUUGGAACUGAGACACGGUCCAGACACCUACGGGUGGCAGCAGUCGAGAAUCAUUCACAAUGGGCGAAAGCCUGAUGGUGUGACGCCGCGUGGGGGAUGAAGGUCUUCGGAUUGUAAACUCCUGUCAUCCGUGAGCAAAGCCGUGCGGGUAAUAUCCGCGCGGUCUGAUAUUAGCGGAAGAGGAAGGGACGGCUAACUCUGUGCCAGCAGCCGCGGUAAUACAGAGGUCCCAAGCGUUGUUCGGAAUCACUGGGCGUAAAGGGUGCGCAGGCGGCCCGCCAAGUCGGAUGUGAAAGACCGGGGCUCAACCCCGGAACGGCGUCCGAUACUGGCGGGCUCGAGGGUUUGAGGGGAGUCGGGAAUUCACGGUGUAGCGGUGAAAUGCGUGGAUAUCGUGAGGAAGACCGGUGGCGAAGGCGCGACUCUGGAAAACUCCUGACGCUGAGGCACGAAGGCCAGGGGAGCGAACGGGAUUAGAUACCCCUGUAGUCC
rnacentral:rRNA from 1 species